rnacentral:lncRNA from 7 species
AAAAUCCGCGCCGGGACUCAACUAAUCCACGAAAUUCUGGGUGCCAUUGUGAUCGUGCUUACCUGGUCGUGGCUAUAAACUAACUGACGUGCAUCUCAUCAUUUCCCUCCUCCGCACGUGGACCAGAGCAAGCGCCACGCCGCGAAAAUCACAAACCGAGAGGAGUUCCGCCGUCGGGAAUCUCCGCCUGUGCUGGUGAAGCACCUCCGACGUGUCGACCCAGAGCUUCGCCGUGGUUUGUGGGAAGUUAGGGUGGCGGUAUUGGGCUCGGAGCGUCACCGGUGUCGACUCAAUUGCUCCCGGAGUCUCUGCGCGCCGUGAAUCCGCCUAACGUCAGGGAGAGAAGAAUUGGUCGCGCGACUCUUGGUAAUAAGUCCUACCCUACUUCCAUCUUAGCCCUAGCUUCGUGCUACAAGUGUCGUAUUCGUGUUCUAGGCAGAAAACGGGGAUUGGGCUAGUGGCUGGAGAUGGCGCCGCCGCGGGGGAGCUGUUCUACGGUGACUGGUGAAGGGGGGAUGUGACCGGGAAUCACGUGCCGUCGGAUUGCUCGCGGACGAUGGAGAUUUUCGCACACGUACCCCUUCACUAGUAUAGCUCUGAAGCGUUGGAUCGUAAUCUCACAGCCCAGAGGGGAUCUGGGACACUUGUUAUCAACGCC